GAUGAACGCUGGCGGCGUGCCUAAUACAUGCAAGUCGAGCGAACAGAUGAGGAGCUUGCUCCUCUGACGUUAGCGGCGGACGGGUGAGUAACACGUGGAUAACCUACCUAUAAGACUGGGAUAACUUCGGGAAACCGGAGCUAAUACCGGAUAAUAUAUUGAACCGCAUGGUUCAAUAGUGAAAGACGGUUUUGCUGUCACUUAUAGAUGGAUCCGCGCCGCAUUAGCUAGUUGGUAAGGUAACGGCUUACCAAGGCAACGAUGCGUAGCCGACCUGAGAGGGUGAUCGGCCACACUGGAACUAAGAAACGGUCCAGACUCCUACGGGAGGCAGCAGUAGGGAAUCUUCCGCAAUGGGCGAAAGCCUGACGGAGCAACGCCGCGGGAGUGAUGAAGGUCUUCGGAUCGUAAAACUCUGUUAUUAGGGAAGAACAAAUGUGUAAGUAACUAUGCACGUCUUGACGGUACCUAAUCAGAAAGCCACGGCUAACUACGU
rnacentral:rRNA from 1 species